CAAGCCGGGUCUACAAUAUUGUGUAUGAGGAACUCGGCUGAGCUUUGGGGAUAAAACACUGCAGAGACGGAGGCCUUCCGGGAGCUGAUGUACAGAGUGGGGGGCAAGCACAAUAAAGACAUGAACAUCUCACAGUAUAGUAAGAGCCAGAGCAGGAGGUGAGCAUGGGGUGGGAGCCCACACAGCCGACUCUGCUAGGGGAGACCAGGGAACACUUCUGUGCUGAUUGGGGUUGUUGGUCUACUACCACGGUUCUCUUGAGAUGGAAUGGAUGGCUACCUGACAGGCAUCUUACAAACUCCAUGCAAAUGACACUUGCAAGCAACAUACCAAGUGGAUCAGUUUCCUGGGGCUGCCAUACCAAUUACCACCAACUGGGCGGUGUAAAACAACAGAGACGCAUUAUCUCACUGUUCUAGAGGCCAGAAGGCUGAAGCCACGGUGCCUGCAGAGGCUUUACCAUCUGGAGCCUCCAGCUCUUCCUGCCCUUGGCUGGGGGCUCAACCAGGGGACCUUCAAAGCCAUUUCCCUUGAGAUACUUACAUGCAACUUCAAUGGGCAGGUUAGUGUCAAUAUCUCUUAUUUGCCACUGUGUAUUUCGGCAAUCACAAGGUGUUACUGAGUGGCAAAUUCAAAUGCAUAUUGUCCUUAAUUUGAGGUUAAUUAUAUAUAACAUUUCAAAGGAGGUAAUCUCAUUAAUUUUGAUUUGCUUCUAACAGUAUUAAAGCACACACUGGAAGACUGACUCGAUUAAAACGGAGCACAUGGGGGGAGACGUCGGGCUCUUCCGAGAUUGUUACGUGCAUUUUAUUAGCCACAGCGAGCCAAGAAGGACGCUGGUGAAACUUCUCCAAAAGCCACAGCCUGCAUAACUGAAGCCACCUGGCCAUCAGGCAGCCCUGCUCACUGUGCACGCUCCCAGUUCCCUGCCUGAUAUAUAUCAGAAGCUUCCUAGACAUUCAUGGAUGAAUAAAGGAAUGAAUGGGAAAUCCCAGCGGGGCAGUCCUGGCAGGAUAUAAAAGGGAACUGGGAUGAUCUGUGUCAUUCUUUCAUGCAUUGAUUCAACCAAAAUAAAAGCACAGACACUGUUUACAUGCCAGGUACAGUGUGAGAGAAUCACAGCCCAUUCCCUGGAGAAGGUCACAGUCUAAAAGGAAGGUGCCCAAGCACCCUGCUCGGUGUGAGUCCAUAAGAAUUCACUGUAUGAUGGGCAUGGUGCGAACCCUGGGGGAAGAGUGGCAAGUACAACUGGCCCUUCCCUGCCCUCAUGCCGCUGGUGGCUUGCCUGACCGAUAGCACAGGUGAGAUUCCAGGCGGAGGACAGUGCUGUGAUGAGGAAGGGUCUCAGCAGGAGUUCAAGAAAGGGGUUUCAGAUGGCAGAGAAGUUCCCAUGGGAAGAGUAGGAGCCAAAAGAGACAACAGAGCGGACUUACCGAGGCCAGGAGGCAGGAACCCCCAGCCCCGGGAGUUAGAGAACAAUCUCCACUCGGAGGACUCCGAGGACACAGCCCAUUCUGGGGCUUGUCUCAGCAGACAUAGUGCAGGAAAGGAGUGGGGACAUAAGAAGCACUGUCCCCCGGAGGUGUGACAUUGUCCCCUGGAGGUGUCACACUGUCCCCCCAGAGGUGUAAGUGACACUGUCCCCCAGAGGUGUGGCACUGUCACCCAGAAGUGUGACACUGUACCCCGGAGGUGUGGCACUGCCCCUGCGGAGGAGGAGACAGUGUCAGAGACAGC
rnacentral:lncRNA from 1 species